rnacentral:lncRNA from 1 species
UUAACGAGGCAGCUGUGGUGGCUAGGCCUGAUGAGUUUUGGGGCGAGACACCGUGCGCGUUUGUGAGUUUGAAAAAUGGUUUGCCUCACAAACCUGGUGAGAAAGAUAUAAUUGAUUAUUGCAGGGAAAAGAUGGCGCAUUAUAUGGUACCAAAAAUCGUGGUGUUCAAAGAUGAGCUUCCAAAGACAUCAACUGGGAAGAUUCAGAAGUAUUUGCUCAGAGAAUAUGCCAAGGUCGUGGAUUCUUCGAAGGUAAAAAUGGCAACCGGACAGGUCGGGAGUGGUUUUUAUCUGCCUCUACGUUCUCCUCGAUGGCUUCAAACACCCUUUAUUCCCACUCCCAUCUCCACCUCCAUUUGCGUUCCCAUUCCCCGUUGUCGUCCCGUCUCUCUGUACAACUUCAGUCAAAGCAUAUUUUUUGCCAAAAAAAGAGGUUCUGAAAUAUUCAGUAUCUUUCAAAAGAACCAAGGAACAGUGCUCCAUCAGCCACAUCGUUUGGGCAACACUCAUGCUCGAUUCCUCUGAGCUUCAAGAAUAAUUCUUGAAACCUAAGAGGAAGUUGGCGCAACUGCCUUCCCAUCUGCUCCAAAUUGGUACUGUCCUAUAAAUUGCGAUAUGUCUUUUGUGUGAAAUCCUACAUUUUCCUCCGAUGGACUUGUCAGUUAUUCCAUACCGAAACAGCUAUCAUGUCUCUUUCAAUCACCACGUACGACACGAUCAAGAUAUGGUAACGCGCGCAGUAUGUAAUAGCCUUUGUCCAAAUAGCGAGGAAAAGUACAGUUUCUUAAUUGGUACAAGUUAAUCCUGUUCAUCUUCACCAUUCUCUUGAACAUAAAUUGUCAUUUUCAAAUUAAUAAAUUUGGUCAAGUAUUUAUUGUCUACGUUAACUAAAGCAGAAGGCAUGCAUGACUUUGCAUUAAACCAAAAUAUUCAAAUGAUUGUAGCUAGCAUCUGGUCCAAAAUAUACAAAGUUAGCUAGUGGUCUGAAGAUCAAGCACCCUAUAAAUUUAAGUGAGGGAACAAAAAACACUCUUUUGAUCUCUAAAUUGAUCUCUAUCUUCUUGAAGAAUAUUAAGUUAUCGAUCUCUAUCGCUAAAUUCAAUAUUAAAGAAUAUUUUCAAUUUAGAAGGUUAAAAGUAUACUAAUGUGGCCAUCAAACCAAAAAAAUCAAUUUUUCAAAGUUUGAACUCGGAUUGAGUAGAUUAUGUUGCUACUCACACUUCACACUUUAGUAGGUCCAAUAACACAGUUAUAUAUAUAUAUAUAUAUCAUUUUCUAGCUUUCUUCCAACUUGUCCCAAGUUCUUAAUAUUUAUCAAAGGUUUGAUAACUACUUAAGCGAAAGAUAAUUGUGUAUUGUUGGUUUCAGUAACCGUAAAAUUUAAUAUAUAUAUAUAUAUAUACAUUAAAAUAUAUAACAUUAAAAUAUGUUAUAUAUUUUAAUGUGUGUGUGUAUAUAUAUAUAUAUACACAAUUAUAUAUAUAUAUAUAUAUAUAUAUAUAUAUAUAUAUAUAUAUAUAUUAAAUUUUGCGGUUACUGAAAGCAUAUAUAUAUCUAUAUUAAAUUUUGCGGUUACUGAAAGCAACAAUGCACAAUUAUCUUUGGCUUUUAUAUAUAUAUAUAUUAAAUUUUACGGUUACUGAAAGCAAUAAUGCACAAUUAUCUUUGGCUUAAGUAGUUAUCAAACCUUUGAUAAAUGUUAAGAACUUGGGACAAGUUGGAAGAAAGCCAGAAAAUGAUACUUUUAUUUUCCCACCUAAAAAACUUAAUAUGGAUAUCAAAGGUAUUAAUAUCUUUUUACAUGCUCUAUUUGUCAUAAUAAAUUGCCCAGAACAAAUAAAUUUUUCUUUAUCUUAAUUGCACUGUAAAACAACCAAAAUAUCAUUGAAAACAAAAAAUUUAAAACUUGCAUCAAUGAACAAUUUUAUGUUUCCACAAUGGUUUUUUCGUUAUUGCAGUGUUAAGUGGGGAGCAAUUUAGCAUUUGAUCAAAAAUAAAAAAUAAUUAAAAAUUAAAAAGCAUAAUGAAAUGAGGAAAUUUCUCUUAAAAUAAAAAAAUUUAAAAUUGGAGUGCAAUGGCUUUUUGUUCAAUUUACAAUGAUUUUAAAAUAAAUAAUUAAAAAUAUGUUAUUAUAAGCAUCACCACGUUCUUUUCCUGGUAGAAUGGCACGUGUCGAUAGUGGUGGUUCAAUUUGUCGCUAGUGGAUCUUUUUCUUUUUUUUAUUUUAUUUUAUCUCUCUUCUCUAAAAAAUUAUAAUUUGGUCUACUUUGUUAUAGGUUUUUCAACUUUAGUCCUUAUUGUUUUUUAUUCUAAUUUUUAUUCUUGGCUCUUUUAUAGAAGUUUUGUUUAUAUUCAAUUUCAUCCUUCCAUCCCAAUUUGCUAUAUAUUAUUUUUUUUUAAUUUGGUCCUCAUUUUUUAUUAUACUUUUUAGGCCUUUUAUUGAAUUAAUUUUUAUAUGUAAUUUCACCCUUCAAUCUAUAAUUUUUUAUUUCAAUUUUGAUCCUCAUUCUUUUGAUUUUUUUAGUCCUUUUAUCCAAUUAAUUUUUUUUUUCAAUUUCACCCUUCAAUCAAAAAUAAAAUUUAUUUUCUAUGUCAAUUUUGAUUCUUAUUCUUUUAACUAUCAUUUUUUUAAUCAUUUUGUGUAAUUGAUAUUCUUUUUUCAAAUUAAUCUGUCAACAUUUAAUACAUUUAAUUGGUUGAAAAUUGAGUUUCAUGUCUUUUUCCUAGAUAGGGUAUUUUCAAUCUAAUGCCAGGGUCAAGGGUUUAGGGUUUGAAAAGUUAUAAUUCUUUUUAUUUUUUAUCAAGUUAUUCCAAUCUCAUGAUUUGAAUUGCAGGUUUAACAGAAUAUCUCGUGUUGACCCAACCCUAAUUACUGAGGUUACAUGUUUGUCAUGCUAACUCUGGUUAAUAAGAACCAAUUUUUUUAUGUCCUUUAUCUACCCCAUUUUGUUCUUCUAUAUUUAAUAAGUUGUAAAUUGAGAUACAUCAUUUAUUUCUUUUUCUAAAAAUAUAUUUCUCUCAUGGUAUUCUAAUCACUUUUCUUUUUGAAUUUGAUCCAUAUACUGUUGUUUCCUAUUUUGUUUUAUAUCUAAUUGAAAUAAAAUCAACUUAUUUGAUUCUAAUUAAUUAGAGCUAUGACCGAAGUCGUAUAUUUUUUUUUGGUUUUAAAACAUGAUUGUGGCUUCUAAACACCAAUUUUUGUACAAAAAAUAAUAAUUUGGCCCUAUGGUAGUGCGGGCACAAGGGCUAAUAAUAAUCUAAAUUGCUUCUUGCUAUCUUACUAAAUAUAAGCCGACUUUGACACAAAAUUAAAGUAAACUUAAACAAGAAAAAUCCCUUAGUACCAAUAAUUGUCUCAAAUAACUGCUGAAAUAAAGAACAUAAGAAAGAUAAAUGGUAGUUAUUUAUAACAAGUGGUAAAAAAUAUUAAAAAGUAUUUAAGAUAUAUAUUAAUAAAAAUUAUUAUUAUUAUUGUUAUUUGCAAUAUAUUCAAUGUAAAAAAUUAUUAGAAAACACCGUUGACAUAUCAUGGUUGGCAAUGAAUGGUUUAAUCUGCACUACUUCAGAUUUUCUAGCCAGAAAAAAUAUUAUAAACCUAGACCAGGUUUCAUAUCCCUAGUGUAAUAAAUAGCCAGAAUUCAUGGAUCAUAUUCUUGUACACUGCUAUGAAUCUUGGAAAUUAUGGAACCGAUUCAUUAAUUGGCUAGGACUAAUUACAUGGUGCAUGCCGAGGACUGUAGAACAAACCUUAUAAUUGUGGCAUUUUCUGGGUAAAGGAAAAUUUCAGAGGAAGGCUAUCUAUAUGUUAUCUACCGGCAUCUUGUGGGGUAUUUGGCUAACUCGUAGCAAAUUGAUUGGACUACAAUCUUGAUUACUACAAAGUGUUCUUAAGAAUAUAGAAAGUAGAAAUAAAAAUAAUAAACAAAUUAUUUGCCUUUUUAAGUGGCCUGUCUUCUUCAAGUACUCAAUUCGAUUUCAAAGCACAAGAAGCCCUUGAAACCAAACCUUCAUAUUUGUGUGUCUCUCUAAGUAACUCUGCUGCUGUAAAUAUAUUUUUUACAAACCAUUCUAGUAGUAGAAUUUGAACAACUUUAAACCUGUCUCUUAAGAAAGUUUUUGUAUCAAAUAAAAUAUUUUACAGAAAAAUAUUAUUAGUAUAGGGAUUGGAGUUGACUAGUUGCUUUGUGAACCCCCGGCUAGCAUAUUUUUGGGUUAGUAAUAUAUGAAAAAUUUAACCAGAUAAUAAAAUGGGUUGAAUAAAAAAAACACUUAAUUAAGAUAAAAAGAGUGAAAUUAAUGAAAUGAAGAGUGAACAUAGUACUAAAUUGUGAGGAAAAACAAAUUUGUGGGGACAAAAUAUAAUAAGUAAGGCUAAUAGGGGCCAAUGUAUAAAUACAAAAAGGAGAGGGUCAAGGUGCAAUUAACAAGAGGAUGACACUAUAAAUAAACUUCAAUUCUCUUUCAUGCCAUGAUCUUGCAAGAACAAAAGAAGGGUUAGGGUUCUUUGAUUUCUUCCUUUUUUUCUUGAUAAAAUCCUCAACGAAAGACUAACUUGUGGUGAUUAAAAGAGUUAGUAAGUGAUCAUAAAGAGGUAUUUGAGUGAUUUAGGGAGUUCUAGAAACUUAAGAGUGAGAACAAGGGUUGGUGAGAGAAGGAAGAAAGAGAAGGAUAAAGGGUUGAUUUCCAUCUUAAAUCUCUUUUGAAUCCUUGUUAUUUCAAGUUAAACAUGGCUUUUAUUGUGUUUGAUUUGGAUAAUUCCAUGAAUGAGAGCUUGAAUGAUGUUAUGUAUGAUUAUGGAAUUUAAAUUUGAGAAAUUUGUUGAUUUAAUUUGGAAUAUUAUAUUAGAAUCUUAUUUAUAAACAUGAAUAAAGAUCAGGUAAGUAAGAAAUUAUUUCCAUGGUCGUGCAUUCGGCUAGAGAGAGAUAGAAGAGAUAAAUUUUCCAGAACAAAACAGUCUUGCCAUUUUGAGAAACAAUUAGAACAAUUUAAGAAACAAUAAAAUCAUUUCUUAAAAUGAUUAGACCGUUUUGGUCUAAUUUUGUGUUUUAGUAUUUUCUUAGUUUUUUUGGUUCUUUUGAGCUUGUUUAAUGGAGAUGAGAAUUGUUUGAUGUAAUUUAGUAUAAUAUGUAUGUUUAAUGAUGAUGACUGAAACAUUUGAUGUGGGGUUGAGGAUCAAAUUGCAAAAAAGAAGAAGAAAGAAAUGGACAUUUAUAUGGUGAUAAUUUAGAAUUUUCAAUUCGAUUAAAUUAAGAACUUAAAAUAUAUAUGGAGAAUGAAAUUGAUUUUUAUGGUGAUCAAUGAAAAAUGAGAUAUUGAUUCUACAUGCACUCAAACAUUAGGUGGCUGCUCGGCACCUUACAACUAAAAUAUUAGUUAAAUUGAACUACAAUAUUAGUUAAAUUGUAAUUGCAAUUUUCUUUAAUCUUAUCUUAAUUUUUAUUUGGAAAAUGUUAAACAAUUAGAAAAAUUAAUUUCCUAGUUAAUAGGAUUAGUGUCCUAGUUAAUAAGAGAUAGGAGAAACUAAUUUUCUUGUUAAUGGGAUUAGUGCCAUAAUUAAUGAAAAAUUGGAGAAAUUAAUUUUAUAAUUAAUAAGAUUAGUGCCCUGGAUAAUGAGAGAUAAAAGAAACUAAUUUCCUAGAUAAUAAGAUUAAUGCCCUAGUUAAUAGGGAAUUGAAGAGACUCAUUCCCCGGCUAAUAGGAUCAGUGCUUAAUUAAUGAAUAAUUGAAGAAAAAUAAUUCUUUUGUUAAUAGGAUUAAUAUCUUGGAUAACAGUCAAUUGGAAAAAAAAAUUGUUGAACCAUAUCCUUUAAUAAUUGUUGUUGAUUCUGUUGAUUAUCACUUGCUGUUGUUUCAUCCAAGUUACUGUCUUUAUCAAUUAUAAAACUUUAGUGUCCUCGGCCAUUCAAGAAAUAUGGCUCCGAUACAAAUUGUAAUGCGUCUAGAUCGUUGUUUUAAAAUGAGAAUUAACUAAUUAAAAAAAAAAGAAUUGUUGGAUUGUAUUUUUUGGAAUCUAAAUUAAAAAACUGAAAUAACUGAAAUAGAAAAUUGAAGAACAGAAUUGUAAGAGGACAAUUUGAGGUAAUAAAUCCUAACUAAAUUUCUGGGCAGAUACGAAGUAACUCCGGCCUCGUUAGAUGAAUGUGAUUUACUUCAAAGCAAUUUACUGCCUAUACUUCUCAUCCUCGCCUUCUAUUUAUUAACUAAAUCUUAGAAUUUGAAUUUCAAAUUCAAGAAGAAAACUCCCUGGGUAAAAUCCUGCGUUGAUUUGUAUGUUGACCACUUCUGUUGCAUAAAUGACGUCGUUGCUGGAAACAAAAUAUCCUUGCAACAUGUCAUCCAGUGAUGGAAGAGCCUCUUCCGGCCUUUCACGUAAGUCUCCCAAUACAUCCUAACCAUACACGUGCUAAUCUCCUUAAUUUCUUGCAGGUUCUCUGUCUCCGUAUUACUUUCUUCUUCAUGUCAAGUGAUAAUCUCCUUAAUUUCUUGCAGGUUCUCUUGUCUCCCUGUUACUUCUCCUUCAUUUCAGAGCAACCACCACCGGGCCCCUGCUGGACCACUACACGAAUCCGGUAGGUUAUAAUUUUCCAUCGUUGAAUGCAAUGCCAUACCACUUGCCUUAAAUUGUCGACGGUUUGCAAUAAUAUCCCUUGUCCUCUAUUAGUUACAGCCAUCCCCUAGCCCUGAGCUAACCUUCUAUUUAGUGACUAGUAUUUAUCUAGCAUUCUAACAAACUACUAGCUAGCCAAGACCAAGAUGGAAGAACUAAAGCCAAUGCCACCAAGCUCAUGCCCCUUUACACCCAUAGGCUUCCUGGAAAGAGCUGCCACUGUUUAUGGUGAUUGCCCAUCCAUCAUCUACAACAACACCACUUACACCUGGUCUCAAACCUACCGUCGAUGUCUCAAGGUUGCAUCUUCGCUAUCAUCCAAUGGCAUCAAGCCAGGUCAAGUGGUUUCCGUUGUGGCCCCUAACGUUCCUGCCAUGUAUGAGCUUCAAUUUGCCGUGCCCAUGUCUGGUGCCAUCCUCAACAACAUCAACACCCGUCUUGACGCUCGGACCAUUUCCAUACUCCUGCGUCACAGUGAGUCAAAGCUCGUCUUCGUUGAUUAUUUGUCGCUUCGUGUUAUUCUUGAAGCCCUCUCUUUGUUUCCACCUGAGACUCCAUGCCCUGCCCUCGUCCUCAUUACGGACGAGGAGGAAGAAGCACCGCCACCACCAUCACUAGCCGUAGACUUUUGUACUUACGAAAGCAUGGUGGAGAAAGGAGAUCCUGAGUUCAAGUGGGUCCAGCCACAAAGUGAGUGGGACCCGGUGGUUUUAAACUACACAUCAGGUACUACCUCAGCUCCUAAAGGUGUGGUACAAUCCCACAGAGGAACUUUCACCAUAACCAUUGGAUCCUUGAUUGAUUGGAGCCUUCCAAAACAAGCAGUGUAUCUGUGGACCCUGCCGAUAUUUCACGCCAAUGGGUGGAGUUAUCCAUGGGGUAUGGCAGCUGUUGGCGGGGCCAACAUCUGUCUUCGUAGAGUGGAAGCCCCUACGAUCUACAGCUUGAUCAAAAGGCACGGGGUCACUCACAUGUGUGGCGCACCUGUGGUGCUAAACAUGCUAACAAACUCUCCCAACGCGGAACGCCUACAAAACCCAGUGCAAAUUUUAACCGGGGGAGCUCCACCUCCAUCCGCCGUGCUGUUCCGGGCAGAAUCACUUGGUUUUGUGGUGAGUCAUGGAUACGGUUUAACUGAAACGGCAGGGCUGUUCACUUCGUGUGCGUGGAAACCAAAGUGGAAUACAUUUCCAGCAAGUGAGAGAGCUAGACUAAAGUCAAGACAAGGGGUUCCGUUUGUUGGCUUCACCGAGAUGGGCGUUGUGGAUCCCAAUACAGGAAAGAGUGUGGAAAGAGAUGGGGUAUCACUUGGUGAAGUUGUUUUGAGAGGUGGGAGCGUAAUGUUAGGUUACUUUAAAGAUCCAUUAGGCACGUCGAUGUGCAUGAAAGAUGGUUGGUUUUACACGGGAGAUGUGGGUGUUCUGCACUCAGAUGGAUAUUUAGAGGUCAAAGAUAGGUCCAAAGACGUGAUCAUUAGCGGUGGAGAGAAUAUUAGCAGCGUAGAGAUCGAGUCUGUGUUGUAUACACAUCCUGCUGUUAACGAGGCAGCUGUGGUGGCUAGGCCUGAUGAGUUCUGGGGCGAGACACCGUGCGCGUUUGUGAGUUUGAAACAUGGUUUGCCUCACAAACCUGGUGAGAAAGAUAUAAUUGAUUAUUGCAGGGAAAAGAUGGCGCAUUAUAUGGUACCAAAAAUCGUGGUGUUCAAAGAUGAGCUUCCAAAGACAUCAACUGGGAAGAUUCAGAAGUAUUUGCUCAGAGAAUAUGCCAAGGUCGUGGAUUCUUCGAAGGUAAAAAUGGCAACCGGACAGGUCGGGAGUGGUUUUUAUCUGCCUCUAACUUCUCCUAGAUGGCUUCAAACACCCUUUAUUCCCACCCCAUACCCCGUCAAGGCCGUAAACAUCCUUAUCCCCACUCCCAUCUCCACCUCCAUUUGCGUUCCCAUUCCCCGUUGUCGUCCCGUCUCUCUGUACAACUUCAGUCAAAGCACAUAUUUUGCCAGAAAAAGAGGUUCUGAAAUCAGUAUCUUUCAAAAGAGCAAAGGAACAGUGCUCCAUCCGCCACAUCGUUUGUGCAACACUCAUGCUCGAUUCCUCUGAGCUUCAUGAAUAAUUCUUGAAACUUAAGAGGAAGUUGGCGCAAGGGCCUUCCCAUCUGCCCCAAAUUGGUGUCCUAUUAAUGGCGAUAUGUUUUGUGUGUGAAAUUGUACAUUUUCCUCCGAUGGACUUGUCAGUUGUUUCAAUCACCACGUACGACACGAUCAAGAGAAAGUAACGCAGUAUGUAAUAGCCUUUGUCCAAAUAUCGAGGAAAAGAACAGUUUCGUAAUUGUCUUCGACUAGCUUAAGUUCUUAAUUGGUACAGGUUAAUCCUGUUGAUCUUCACCAUUCUCUUGCAACAUAAAUUGUC